rnacentral:rRNA from 1 species
UACGAGGGGGGCAAGCGUUGUUCGGAAUUAUUGGGCGUAAAGGGUGCGUAGGCGGUUUGGUAAGUCUUAUGUGAAAUCUACAGGCUCAACUUGUAGUCUGCAUGAGAAACUGCCGGGCUUGAGUAUGGGAGAGGUGAGUGGAAUUCCUGGUGUAGCGGUGAAAUGCGCAGAUAUCAGGAAGAACACCAAUGGCGAAGGCAGCUCUCUGGGACGGUACUGACACUGAGACGCGAAAGCGUGGGGAGCGAACAGG